rnacentral:rRNA from 1 species
UACGGAGGGUGCAAGCGUUGUCCGGAAUCACUGGGCGUAAAGGGCGCGUAGGCGGCUCAUGAAGGCUGUUGUGAAAGUCCGGGGCUCAACCUCGGAUCGGCCGUGGCGACUCGUGGGCUGGAGCGCUGUAGAGGCGGGUGGAAUUCCGGGUGUAGCGGUGGAAUGCGUAGAGAUCCGGAAGAACACCAGUGGCGAAGGCGGCCCGCUGGGCAGUGGCUGACGCUGAGGCGCGACAGCGUGGGGAGCAAACAGG